GUGUUUACAGUGUUAUGCAGUGGUUAACGGUGUUAUACAGUGUUAUACUGUGUUUUAUACGGUGUUAUACGGUGUUAUACAGUGUUAUGCGGUGUUACGCUCUGUUUUAUACGGUGUUAUACAGUGUUUUAUACGGUGUUUUUCUAUGUUAUACAGUGUUAUACAGUGUGUUGAACGGUGGUAUACGGUGUUAUACAGCAUUUUAUACGGUGUUAUUUAGUGUUAUACGGUGUUAUACAGUGUUAUGCAGUGUUUUACACGGUGUUAUACAGUGUUAUGCGGUGUUAUAUGGCGUUAUACGGUGUUUUACAGUGUUUUAUACAGUGUUAUACAGUGUUAUACAGCGUUAUACGGUGUAUAACAAAAAGGCGGUAUGGUGUUAUACGGUGUUAUACGGUGUUAUACAGUGUGGUAUAUAGUGUUAUACAGUGUUAUACGGUGUUAUACAGUGUUAUAUGUUGUUGUACAGUGAUAUACGGUGUUGUACGGUGUUAUAUGGUGUUAUACAGUGUGGUAUAUGGUGUUAUACAGUGUUAAACAGUGUUAUACAGUGUGUUGAACGGUGGUAUACGGUGUUAUACAGCAUUUUAUACGGUGUUAUUUAGUGUUAUACAGUGUUUUAUAUGGUGUUAUACAGUGUUAUACAGUGUUUGAUACAGUGUUAUGUGGUGUUAUACGGUGUUAUGCAGUGUUUUAUACGGUGUUAUACAGUGUUAUAUGGUGUUAUACGGUGUUUUACACAGUGUUAUACGGUGUUAUACGGUGUUAUACAGUGUUUUAUACGGUGUUAUACGGUGUUUUAUGGUGUUAUAUGGUGUUAUACGGUGUUAUACAGUGUUAUACAGUGUUUUAUAUGGUGUUAUACAGUGUUAUACAGUGUUUGAUACAGUGUUAUGUGGUGUUAUACGGUGUUAUGCAGUGUUUUAUACGGUGUUAUACAGUGUUAUAUGGUGUUAUACGGUGUUUUACACAGUGUUAUACGGUGUUAUACGGUGUUAUACAGUGUUUUAUACGGUGUUAUACGGUGUUAUACGGUGUUUUAUAUGGUGUUAUACAGUGUUUGAUACAGUGUUAUGUGGUGUUAUACGGUGUUAUGCAGUGUUUUAUACGGUGUUAUACAGUGUUAUAUGGUGUUAUACGGUGUUUUACACAGUGUUAUACGGUGUUAUACAGUGUUUUAUACGGUGUUAUACGGUGUUAUGCAGUGUUAUGCUGUGUUAUGCUGUGUUAUGCUGUGUUAUACGGUGUUAUGUGGUGUUAUACGGUGUUAUAUAGUGUUUUACACAGUGUUAUAUGGUGUUAUACGGUGUUACACGGUGUUAUAGUGUUAUACGGUGUUAUGCAGUGUUAUGCUGUGUUAUGCUGUGUUAUACGGUGUUAUAUGGUGUUAUACGGUGUUACACGGUGUUAUAGUGUUAUACGGUGUUAUAUGGUGUAAUACAGUGUUUUAUAUAGUGUUAUACGGUGUUAUGCAGUGUUUUAUACAGUGUUAUAGGGUGUUUUAUACAGUGUUUUUCAAUGUUAUACGGUGUUAUACAGUGUGUUGUGCGGUGUUAUACGGUGUGAUAUACGGUGUGAUAUACAGUAUGUUAUACGGUGUUAUCCGGUGUUAUCGUACUGUAUUAGAUUCAUUAUAAAACCCUGAGAGGUGUGUGAAGCUGCAUGGAGAUAUUUCCAUUGGACAAGUAUGUGAUUUAAUUGAAAUGGUGAGAUAGCUGUUUGAGUAGAUCCUCAGGGAUAUAUGCUAACCCAGUCUCUCUCUUCUCGCUUUCCUACCAGUCAGUUAUCCUUCACAUAAGCUCUAAAAUAAUUCUGCACUGUUGAGGUGAUUGGGAGAGAGAACACAACAAACACAAAGAGAGAGAGA
rnacentral:lncRNA from 1 species